GGUUCUGCGUGGUGAGGCUCAAGGCAGGCCAUGUUUAGUAUGGGCACGGUCCUGCCUGGUGGUGCAAGCGCUGGAUGGUGGAUUUUAGGGGUGGGUCUCAGUCUUUGCUUGUCAAAGGGAAAAGAUCUAAAGAAAGUACGGAAAUCAAGCUGCCACGUACCAGGCUCAAACCAACUCUGCUCCUACCUCCUAAUCAAAACAUCUGUCCUAGCUGUACCUCAGGCUCCUUGCAGCAUCAGAAAGAAAUCCACUUGAUCACAAUAGAAGCUGAAGCCUGUGGCCCUCCACCUUUGUACAUGUGCUUGCUGCCCCUAGUGAUUCGAUCCUGAUUGAGAACCUUUACCCAAGCUGAUCCAUCUGCUCCAGCUCAAGGCCAAAACACAUUCCUCAGUUGGAACUCUCAUUGAAGUCUUCAAUCCAUGCGUCUUUCCUUCCAAGUCAUGUCCUGCACCUCCCAUUGCAUCUGACGUGAUGGCCGUGCCCACUGUCCUCUAAGAACCUUCUCACUUCUCCUCAUAUCCAUCCUGCAGCUCCUGCAUACUUUGCUUCCUUUUGACAGCCAGACGUGUCUCCCUCUUCUGAGUGCUGCCUGUAGGCUACUGGCAAGCUACGAAAGG
rnacentral:sRNA from 1 species